rnacentral:rRNA from 1 species
GAGUUUGAUCCUGGCUCAGGAUGAACGCUGGCGGCGUGUCUAACACAUGCAAGUCGAACGAAGCGUAUAGAAGGAAGUUUUCGGAUGGAAUUUUAUAUGACUUAGUGGCGGACGGGUGAGUAACGCGUGGAUAAUCUGCCUUACACAGCGGGAUAACAAGUGGAAACAGUUGCUAAUACCGCAUAAGCACACAAUAUCGCAUGAUAAAGGGUGAAAAGAUUUAUCGGUGUAAGAUGAGUCCGCGUCCCAUUAGCUAGUUGGUGAGGUAAAGGCUUACCAAGGCGACGAUGGGUAGCCGGCCUGAGAGGGUGAACGGCCACAUUGGGACUGAGACACGGCCCAGACUCCUACGGGAGGCAGCAGUGGGGGAUAUUGCACAAUGGGCGAAAGCCUGAUGCAGCGACGCCGCGUGAAGGAAGAAGUAUUUCGGUAUGUAAACUUCUAUCAGCAGGGAAGAAAAUGACGUACCUGAGAAGA